UGAGCCUAUAUUAGAUUAGCUAGUUGGUGGAGUAAUAGCCUACCAAGGCAAUGAUCUAUAGCUGAUCUGAGAGGAUGAUCAGCCACACUGGAACUGAGAUACGGUCCAGACUCCUACGGGAGGCAGCAGUGGGGAAUAUUGGACAAUGGGCGAAAGCCUGAUCCAGCCAUGCCGCAUGAGUGAAGAAGGCCUUUGGGUUGUAAAGCUCUUUUAGUGAGGAAGAUAAUGACGGUACUCACAGAAGAAGUCCUGGCUAACUCCGUGCCAGCAGCCGCGGUAAUACGGAGAGGGCUAGCGUUAUUCGGAAUUAUUGGGCGUAAAGGGCGCGUAGGCUGGUUAAUAAGUUAAAAGUGAAAUCCCGAGGCUUAACCUUGGAAUUGCUUUUAAAACUAUUAAUCUAGAGAUUGAAAGAGGAUAGAGGAAUUCCUGAUGUAGAGGUAAAAUUCGUAAAUAUUAGGAGGAACACCAGUGGCGAAGGCGUCUAUCUGGUUCAAAUCUGACGCUGAAGCGCGAAGGCGUGGGGAGCAAAC
rnacentral:rRNA from 1 species